rnacentral:rRNA from 1 species
UACGUAGGGGGCAAGCGUUGUCCGGAAUCAUUGGGCUUAAAGGGCGCGUAGGCGGUCCGACAAGUCGGGGGUGAAAUCCUGCAGCUUAACUGCAGAAGUGCCUUCGAUACUGUCGGUCUUGAAGGAGAUAGGGGUGUGCGGAACUUCCAGUGGAGCGGUGAAAUGCGUUGAUAUUGGAAGGAACGCCGGAGGCGAAAGCGGCGCACUGGAUCUCUACUGACGCUGAGGCGCGAAAGCCAGGGGAGCAAAGCGGG